AUUGCAGGCAAAAGAAAGUCUGCCUCCAUUGCCUCAGAUAGCAUAUAAUUUUAGACCUACUAUAUACUCCACACCAGAGAAUUCCCUAUAUAUAGUAAUGGUUAUAACCAACUCAGUUACUUAUCCUCUGAUGCUUAGUCAAGUCUGGAUGCAAUUUGAUCAAUAGAGAUCCCAUAGUGUUUUGUUUGCACAGAUCUUCCAUUAUUAAACUGUGCUUAUAGGGAUUAAUGCAGGGGUGACAUUCAGCACGUUCUGACAGAUUCUGGAGAACCGGUAGUGGAAAGUUUUAGUAGUUUGGAGAACUGGCAAAUACCACCUCUGACUGGCCCCAGAGUGGGGUGAGAAUGGAGUUUUUGCAAUAUCCUUCCCCCAGGAGUGGGGAGGGAAUGGGGAUUUUGCAGUAUCCUUUCCCUGGAGUGGGCUGGGAAUGGAGAUUUUGAAGUAUCCUUCCCCUGCCAUGCCCAUCAAGCCACACCAAACCAUGCCCACAGAACCGGUAAUAAAAAAAAUUGAAUUUCACCACUGGAUUAAUGUCUAUUUGCACUAAGUCACAAAUACAUUUUACCAUGUCAUUUUUUACGUGUUGAGAUCUACCCAUCAUUCUCUUCUCAUCUCUCUCUGCAAUCAGUAUUUGCAUUAAAGUGCCAAGACCUCAUUUGCAAUGCAGUUUGAGAUUACUAUUAUAUAUUUGGGACCACAGAAAAUGGUAUGAGAUUCCCAAUUUUAGUUCUGGAUUCUCAUAGGACCAGAAGUCAGGACAAGGGAAAAUAGAUGCCUCUGUGGAAAAAAUGUCCGGUUUCUACUGGAUCUCAGUAAAAUGGCCCUAGAGGGAAAGGAAUUUUCUUGCAGAUGUCUUUAAAUGGUUAAUAGGAGCAGUGCCAAUCCCAGCCCUGAGACCAUCAUCCACCCCGUUAUCAAGGAAAUGUAGAUAUCUCCAUACCAAAACUAUCAGAAGAAGAUAAAUAAAACUAGAACAGCUAAGUGACUUUAAGCUUCUCCCUGCUGGUGGCUCGGGAUGACAAGAAGGCAAUGUCAUGAGGAUGUAUUAUAUAAAAAUGGUUUAUAUGAUGUGUGGACUUUAACUCCCCGAAUUACCUAGGCAACUGAUUGGAGAAUUCUGGGAGUGGAAGUCCACACAUCUUAAAAGUUGUCAGGAUUGAGAAAUAUUGCUGUAAGUAAACCUUUCUACUUGUAACAUCAGGCAUUGCCAUUCUAUUCAGCUUUCUUUGGAAUUGGCACUAAACCCAACACCUUGUUCCUUCCAAGGAGGAAGACAAAAGAUGGAGUGGUAUAACUGGGAGGCCUUUACCGUGCCUUGGGUCUUCUAUUGAGAUCAAGGCGCUGAAAGAACUCCUUUCCCUGAUUCAUCCGCCCCUCCCACUACCUUUCUCUUUUUGCUUUCAAGGGUAGCUUAUAGAGAGGACAAUUUUUAGAGUAACAUCUUCCCAAUACAUCGGCAAGGGUCAUUGUUCCCCAGCCUCGUGUCCUUUGCAUGGAUUGGAUUGGAUUGGAUUGUAGCAGAAGACUGUUAGCUGUGCUGACUGAAGGCGAUGGAUACUGUAACCGAUGACGUGGAGAGGGCACUAUUGGAAGAUGCUUUCUAUCCCAGAGAGGAAAUCGGUAUUAUUUCUUCUCAUCGCUCUCCCACCGUGAAAAUAGCUUCUUUCUAGUAAUGCGGAUUUACUUCCUUGUUUACAGUCUAAAUCAACUUUGGAGUGUUUUCUAGGAAGUUCUCUAUUGACUUUUCUCCCCCGCCAUUGCCCGUCCUGAAAUUAGGGGAAAUAGUUGCUUUAUCAUCUUGCGCUGUCUGAUAUUCUCUCUACAAUUUUCAAUCGGAUGACAGGAGUUUAUGGAUUUCUCAAGAACAAUAAAAACCAUGGUUUGUGGAAGUUACUGAGAAUUUAUAGUAAGAAAUUAAAAAUGGUUACUAUAAAAAUUUUAAGUUACUCUGGUUUCCUGGGAAGUAUAAAUUUGUGAAGGUACUGAACUUUAUUUUUAUACAUUAUACUGUGAACAAACCAUUUAGACUGAAGUCUUACAAAUGAAUAUCCCAUGAACAUAGCCAGGAUUUCCCCAUAGUGGUUUGUAUUUCCUGAAAUUUUCUAUAUAUUCAUGACUCUAAAAUUAGCAGCAAGCACAGUUCUGGAUUGCCUCUUCAUCAAUUGUAAUGUGACCAGUACACAUUUCCUGUAUUUCUAAUUCCAAAAUAUUGCAAACAUGAGUUAGUAGCAGAUAAGAUACCCUUGUUUCUGCCUUCAUAUCUGGUUGGAAUCACAUCUUUCCAGGUGGACUGGAUAAACAAGUGGGACCAACUAAUCUUCCUCUUUGCAAACAAACAUAGUAAAAACAAAACAAAGGAAAACAUUGUUGACCAUGCUUCUGCAUUUUAAGACCACUGACCAUUAUGACCUACUCUUCUUGCAAGUUCUAUUUUGGAGAAAUAUCUGUUGUUUGAGAACCCUACCCUUAUCCUCAUGAGCUAUUAAUGUAGAAGGAUAUGUUCUAGAUAGAGUAGCAGUCAGCCAAGAGCCAUGGUUCAGGCAGAGACGGAAAGAGAGGCAAAGUACCUGGAGAGCAAGACUGAAAGAUCCCUGCAUCAGGAGUGAAUGAACCAGCCUCAACAGAGAGAUAAUGCAAGUACUUUUCUUUCAUAGAAACUGAUAGAAUGCAAACAAAUCCAACAGAUAUAUUAAGCAGACUCCUUUAUAUAUUUUUUUGUUUUGGGGAACAGGCCAGGCUCAGUUGCUUGCCUUGUGUCCAUAGACUGUUUUCGGUAAACUUCAGCUUUAAAAAGCAAGCUGGGCAUAUACAAUUGCAUGGUAACAUAGAGUAGAAACAUUUUUUCUUCCAAAGCCUCCACUCAAAAUUCUCUUCUGGACAUCUCAAUGCUCUGGCUAGUAUGUAAGUUCUUGCAUGUUAUGGAAAUUUGACUUUCAACUGCAUAUAAAAUUUGAUUUUAAUGUGUUGACAGAUGGCAUUUUUCAGCAUUGGACAGCUGACAUGCACUGUCAUUUAGCAUCUGAUAGCAUUUGACAUUCGUCCCACAGUAAUUCUUCAAUGAUAUUUCCUUGUUGACAUUGUAUGUAGAAUUUUGAGCAUCACUGAUUGGUAAUAUGCAAUAGUUUUAUGCAGCUGAUUAAAAACUAGCAUGAUGUAAUGCAGCGAUAGCUGAUGGAUUUCUGUGAAUCCUGAAUUCAUUCUAAUUCUGUUUGAACUUCUUGAAGCUUUGUCAGUGAUUCAUUGUUCAGAAGGACACAAAACAUGGGCCUCAUUUCUGCAACAAGUUAAGGUUAUAAUGUGGAAUUUCUGAAAUGAUGACGGACAAUUCCGAGCCCAGAACAUGUCAGUGUUUCUGUUUUUGUUCGAUGAUACCUUGUGAACUGCUCAGAAUUCACCAUCUUCCUACGACUCAAGACCAGAAGAAAUAAAAGCUCUCCUUGUUGACAAGGGAAAGAAAGUAAAUUGUUCGUGAAGAAAGAACCUAUCAUAGAAUAACAGCUGAAUGGAAAGGAACCAUGGGAAUACGAGAAAGAGUGUGAAAUAAAAAAAAAAUAAGGAGAAAAGGCCUGUAGCCGUUACAAGUUGGAGAGGAUAUGGAUGGGGACACAGCCACAGCGCAUCUAACCAGGUUUACCUUAUCCUUCAUAAUCUCCACACUUAAAGAAACAAGAUAAAAUCUCUCUCUAGCUUCUCCAUGCCUUUACCUUAUGAGUGAAAAUGCUUGGUAAUUUGAACUAUAAAAUGACUUCAAGAGAAUGAGCAUAGUAGCUUGGAUGUAAUAAGACUAUUUUGUGAUUGAAAAAGAAGGAACAGAAUUCCACAAAACUAGGACUAUCACAUGUGGUUGACAAAAAUCUGGAUGGACACUAGAUGGCAGGAAACUUAGAUUUUCUGAUAUCUUCUCCCUCCUAUCCAGUGAUCAUUUGGAUUUCUGCCGGCCAAAUACUGUAGUCCUAUUGAAGUUCAGUUUGCCUGCAGGAAGUGUUACCAAGCCAACUAUUAAACUUAGUUUAUUAACUUUACUAGCUUCUACCAACUUUACCAAAUUUUAAGUUGAAAGUAAGAAGAAUCAAAAAAUAAUAAUAAAAAGAGAGAAGUAGAAAAGAAAGAAAAAAAAAGAAAAGUGAUGAGGAUUGGCUUCUGAUCUUCUUAACAUCAUAAUUUCCCUUGUUCCAAAAUUUACUCUUUCUAAUAAUCAAAUCCAUAAAUCACAAGCUUAUUUUUUUCUGUUUUUCAGCAAAAGAUAUCUUUGAUAUUUUUCUAAAGUUGUUACUGCUGGAAUAUUUGUUCAGGUUUCAGUGCAAAACAUUCACUCCAUAUCUACCAUCCACCCAUGCUAUGCAGAGCACUGAACAUUUGCUGCCAUAUUUUAAUUUCAAAAAUGGUCUUUCUCCAGUUGCAAUGAAAUUAUAAUGAAGCCAUUGAGAUAUGGCUAUUUGACAUAAUGGAAGGGGAACAAAAUUAAUUCAGAGUGAAGGCAGCAACUCCACUGACAUAGUCAUGAAGCUCAUAUGAAGAAAACAAGCUGAAAAAAAGGAAUCAACAUAAAGUCACAGUUGAUGUGCUCUAAAGUUUUGCUAGAGCAAUAUAUGGUGAGUGCUUACAGAAUAUAUGUCAAAGAAAAUAUGAAGAAAUACCACUAUGCUGCUGCACUGAAAACAUUUACCCUCUCCAAAUGCCUGAGGAAGGUACAUUUUACAGACGAGAAAAUGUCCACCGUAUGUUUCCCCUUAUUUGGUUUAGCGAUAGAAAUGAGCAAGGGAAGACACACAAUGCCCCUUGUUAAUGUUAGCAAUGACCGCUGAAUGGCACCAGCAAAGUAUGCUGGCAAUGUUUAACAACCCAUCUGUCUUUCACCUUUUUCUGCUCAACAGAAACCUUUGUUUGAGCCAUGUCCUUAUUCAGGCAGACUGUUAUCUACUUAUCUGAAAUAUUAAUCUGAGAUGAGGCACUGUAUCAUUGUUAAAACAAGCUUUAUUAUUUUAAAUGACCUCUUGUGUAAUAGUUUAAAGCAACAAACUAUUUUUAUAGGAAAGGAAAAUUUUGCAUUUGUCUCUAUUGCUGCAAAGGGACUCAUUCAUACUGUGAAAUUAAAAUGGGGGAACAAAUAAAGCAUCAACUACAGAUGGCAUUUGAAUAUUCAUGUUACUAAUAAGGAAUUGAAAUGCUACAGACAUUUUUCCUUUUUUCUUUCAUUCUACACCAAGAUUGUUAAUAAUGUUAGAUCAAUGGAUGCUGUCACCAGUUAUAUAUAUUAUUAUGUAAAAUGCUAUACCCUGCAAGUAUAUAUUAUUUAAUUAAGAGUAGUGAAAUCUGGGCAGUCAUGAGGCUUGCGAAUGAGUAGAGCUGGAGAAAGCAUCUUAAGUUGGCUCUUUGUGCAAAAGGUCAAAGGGAAGGUUUUGGGACCAACACAAUCCAAUACAAAUUUCUCCAUAUUAUUUAUUUAUUUAAAACCUGUAGAAUUUGUUUUUUUUAGCAGAGUUUAAAACAAAGCUGAACGAGAAAAAAAAUUAAUACAAUUGUUAAAGUAGCAAAAACAGAACAUUAUCUCUACCAGUCACUUUUUUAAACUAUUAUUUUAUUCUUUAAGUGGGAACUUAAAGGAUUAAAUAAAAAACUUAAAUUAGAACAAUAAUGCAAUGAAAUAAAUGUUUGAAUUAAUCAGAUUCCCUCAAAGCCAAUUAAAUAAAUUUUAAAAACCCUACAAUGCUCCAUCAAAUAUUAAAUCUCAAUCAAAAUCAGCCAAUACAAUUUGAGUUUAGAGUUGGUAGUGAUAGGUGAUUUGGUAAACCUCCCACAAUAAAGUCUAAGACUGUGCCCUGCAGACACGGGACCCUUGAAAUUAUAGCUCAUGUCCUGUAAUACCGUAUUAUUUAUGAGUAUCCUAGACCUAUCUCAUAACUCCAUACUUGGUAAAACAUCUAGGAAGUUUUGAUCUUUUUAAUGUACAGUUGUUAUCAGAUCAAUACGAUUCAAUCUUCUUGAACAUAGCCAAUUUUUUUAUACUGCUCAUAAAAUUAGAUAGACUUUGAUUGCCCGUUGAUAAGUCUACCACCUCAUAUUUUUAUUCUGUUUUUAUUUUAUUUUUAUUUUUUAAUAUGUUUCUAUCUGUAACUUUGUGACCAUAAUACAAAUUCGAUUCUAUUCUGGAAGCAAGCGAGCAAGCAAGGAAGUAAAAAGCUUAAAAUGAUUUCCUGGUACUUUAUAAUAUGGAAAACAAAAUGGUACCUGUGAAGAACUCCAGGAAUGAAUUAGAAAGGAGGGAGAGUUUGUUUUCCCUUUGUCUCACUCCUUUAUCUUCCCUCCCCAUUCCCCCUGUAAGGUCGUCUUGGAACAGUCCACAUGGUCCCAACAAAACACAUGUAAGAUGGGGAAAAGAUUUUAUUUGAUAUCCAAGUCAUAAUUGAGAAUUGUUUUUCCUUUCAAAGUCAGUCACAAAAAGCCACACUCAACUUUUGACUUCAAGAUACUUUCACCCUUGCAUUGAUGAAGGGCAAGGAAGGCAAGCUUUAUGAAUUUAGUUUGCUAAAUUAACUCCAAGAUAAAGGAGUUUGCUUUCCUGGAGUUACCAAACCAUGCCUGUAAGUGCAGACUGUUGGUCACUCUGCCACAAAGGACUGACCAAAUUCCCAAGUUGCUGAAACUGAGGAGGAAGACUCAUUAAAACAUUUCAGGUUUUCCAGUAUUUUAAAAUUGAGUUGAUGGGAGAAUAAAUUUUGCUUUGAAUUUACGAUUCAUUUGUCACUUUUAAUAUUUUAGAACAUAAUCUAGCCAGAAUGAAACACCUGUAAUCACUCUCAAUAAGAAAUGUAAGUAUAUGCUGUUUCCCAGUAUAAUUGUUGAAAUUUUCAAUGUAAUUUUGAUGGGAUUCUGCUACUUGACAUAUUUUACACUAUAUUUUUAAUAUAUCUCACAAAAAUGCAGAAAGUAUCAAAUACUGUACCACAUAUUUACAGGAAGUGUAAGCAUAUAAUAGAUUCACUAGAGUAUUGCAGUUUAUCCUGUAUAUAGAAAUUGUAAUCUAAUGCAAGUAUCAGCUAAGCCUGGUGUAAUAAAUUAAAUGAUUUUUAGGGAUUGA